rnacentral:rRNA from 1 species
GAUGAACGCUGGCGGCGUGCCUAAUACAUGCAAGUCGAGCGAACAGACGAGGAGCUUGCUCCUCUGACGUUAGCGGCGGACGGGUGAGUAACACGUGGAUAACCUACCUAUAAGACUGGGAUAACUUCGGGAAACCGGAGCUAAUACCGGAUAACAUGUUGAACCGCAUGGUUCAACAGUGAAAGACGGUUUUGCUGUCACUUAUAGAUGGAUCCGCGUCGCAUUAGCUAGUUGGUAAGGUAACGGCUUACCAAGGCAACGAUGCGUAGCCGACCUGAGAGGGUGAUCGGCCACACUGGAACUGAGACACGGUCCAGACGCCUACGGGAGGCAGCAGUAGGGAAUCUUCCGCAAUGGGCGAAAGCCUGACGGAGCAACGCCGCGUGAGUGAAGAAGGUCUUCGGAUCGUAAAACUCUGUUAUUAGGGAAGAACAAAUGUGUAAGUAACUAUGCACGUCUUGACGGUACCUAAUCAGAAAGCCACGGCUAACUACGU